rnacentral:rRNA from 1 species
UACGUAGGUGGCAAGCGUUGUCCGGAAUUAUUGGGCGUAAAGCGCGCGCAGGUGGUUUCUUAAGUCUGAUGUGAAAGCCCACGGCUCAACCGUGGAGGGUCAUUGGAAACUGGGGAACUUGAGUGCAGAAGAGGAAAGUGGAAUUCCAAGUGUAGCGGUGAAAUGCGUAGAGAUUUGGAGGAACACCAUUGGCGAAGGCGACUUUCUGGUCUGUAACUGACACUGAGGCGCGAAAGCGUGGGGAGCGAACAGG